GCAGCUAGCUGGGCAGCCGCAUGUUGUGUGGACUGCCUGAUCAGCACAGCUCGCCAGUCAGCACAAAUAUCUGCGCUCCGGGUCUGCAGAGCAGAGAGAGCCACAAGGAAAAGAAGUCUGGAGCGUCUCUGCCAAGAAUUCAGAGUAUGUGGAAAGCCCCAGAAAGAUGGAUGCAGUUGAUUUCUUCAGUAAAGAACACCUUCAGUUUUACAAACAUGGACUCUUCUCAUGCUAUUUUCUAAGAGAGGAAAAACAAAUGUGGCAAGUGUCCUAAUCUAUGACUAAGCAAAGCAAGGGAGGGACCCAGGGUCUGAACCCCACAGCCCUGUCACUGCUCUGGACUGCAGGAGCUGGUCCAGGCAUUGUGGGGGCCAGCUGGCCCAAGGUGUUGAAGAAGAACCACCAAAGUUCAGUGGAAAUCUGAACCCUGGAAGAAGAGAGGAGGCCCUCCACUCUGGCAGUAGAAUUUGUCUCCUGCCGCAUGGCACUGUGGGUUCUGGUUUUUCAUUCCUCUGUUCUGGGGUUUCUCUUAUUGCAUAGCUCCUUUCUGUUGCUAGAGCAAGAAUGAACAACACUGAAAAGAAUCAGUCAUUCAUUAUUUAUCUCUUCACCUGUCCCUUUUGGCAUUAACAUGAUAUGAUACUAUGAGGUUUUGGUGAGGGCCCACUGACACAAAGAUGCAACACAUUGUUUGGAAUGGUGGUUUGUAUUUUAUGUACACAUAUUACCAGAAGUGGCUUUGUCUUUGUGCCCACCACACCACUGAAAACAAAAAGGACUGUACUCUCUCUUAAGGACUGGAUGUAUAAAAAUAUAAUGUCCUGUUAGUGGGAGCCUGUGGCACUGAAGUGUUUCUGCUGACAAGGUACAAGGAAUUACAGCCUGACCCCCCACAGAAAUGCAUUUCCACAGCAAAUACCCAAACUGUUUACAAUGGCAGUGAUAAAGAAUUUCAUGCUUCUCUCCUGUCUUCCUGCUUAGACCAGAAGCCAAAAAAAAAAGGCUGAGACCCCUGGAUAUUUCACUAACCUGGAAAAAAAUGACCAGAGGAGGCAGAGAUCCACUUAAUUAAACUGAGUCAAAGGCUAUGUUGGACACUUUUGCCCUUGUCAAGCUUGCACUUCUUAAUAGUUUGUACAUUUUGUUUAUUCCAGUAAGUGUUUAUAUCUGGUGAUUACUGAAGUGACUGUACUUGGUGCUGCUGGAGAGGACAGAAACCAUCAGCCACUUGAGCACUAAUUCCCUGCAGGAGGCACACGGUGAGAGCAAGCUCAGCCUCAGAGAUCUGAGCAGGCAGGUGUGGGAAUAAGAACACUGAAGCACAGAGGAAGACAGCCACAUGCCUCUGGUGAGCCAAACACAGAGCCUUGCAAGGAGUAAAUAAGAAAAUGGACAAUAUAAGCCCUGGUGCUCAGGGCUCUCUCUCUCUCUGCUGCUCAUCCAGCAGCCACAGAUCUACAUUGCUCAAUACUUGAAUGAAGGCAAAGGAAAAAGCAGUUUUCAUAAUUAUGAGGCAAACUCUCCCAAUUCAGCUAGUUGCCUCCUCUCAUCCUGGCUUGGUACCCCAACUUAUCACACCCAUAAACACACAAAAAAGGAACAGCAGUUGUAGCCGAACAUGUUCAUAUAUAUUGGUAUAUUGGAAACUUUCAGCUUUGUUUCUUUUUUUUUUUUUUCUAUUUCACAUUGCUGCAACAACCCACAUCCCUGCUGGGCUUUGAUUGCAGCUUUAGCUAAUUAUAUUAGUUGAGACAUUUUGUCAUACAGUGAAUCAGAUCCUCAGAUCCUCAACUGAUCUAAAUGAAUGCAGCUGCACUGAUGUUAGUGGAGAUUUUCCUGUUCAUACCAAUUAUUCAUUAUCUCCCCAAAAAUGAAAUGCAAACUGCCAUACUCUAAAACACAGUUUUUAAAGCAAAGGGGCAUACCUUUAGUAGGUCUUUGCAAUUUAUUUCCUAGAACACUUUGGGAACACUAUUUGCACUCUGGAAAGCACCAGAAUAGCAUGGUGGCUAACAAAGAGAAAUGAACUAUGCCUUCAGUACAUUCUCCUGAUGUAUUUUCCCAUCAAAAUAAAACUUUAAGAUUAUUACAACACCCAAAUGUAUUACAUAUAUCCAAGAAAUAAACAAGCAUGGAAGUCUACUAGAUGGCUAUUUUUAUACAGAGUACAGGAGAAACCCAGAAUAGGGAAGAUUGCCUCACAGUUUUCCUCCUGAUAUGGAUUGUCACAUAUGGACAACCAUAAAAAUAUUAUUUAUCUUACACCGUUCUAUUUGGUCUGAAAAUGGUUGUACUUUCUGGCAUGUCAAAGCUAAUGAAUAAAUCCACCUAGGAGCACACUAGCUUUGAAAGGCUCCAGUGUUCUGCAGCUAUUGGCAUUUAGGGCACUGGAUUUGUUUUUUCAAACGGUGUGGCAUGAGAUAAAAGCAGAUUACUUUCCUCCAUCAGCUACAGAUUUUCUCAGGUUUUUUUGCACAGAUGACUGUACACACUCUUCAGCUAUCAGCACCUAAGCAUUCAAAUUCUUCCUGGCAACGUGAACUCUGGGUAAAUUUCAGCUGUCAUCCUGCCUUGUCCCCGAUACCUAGACACAUCUCUAUAGACCCACUCAUCUUCCAUAGCCUUAAACCUUCUGGAAAAAAAGAACCUACUCAAAACAACCAAACAAAAAAGGCAGUCUAACAGAGGUUUACUUCUGCUUUGGCAUGUAUCUUUAAGCUUCAUCUAUCAGCUAUUGAAUGGCUUGUUUUCCCCGGCGUUGCUGGCAGCCGCUGUGCCGCCUGUGUUAGCGCAGGGGCUGCUGUGCGCUGGCAGGG